GCAUGACUUGCAAUGUUGUAUACAAAAAAUCUGUAUCAAUGUAGGUGUUACAAGCAAGUUUCAAAUUGUCUAUGAUUAAAAACCAAUUAAAUGACAUUACUGUUUAGUCAAAACAUGAAUUAAGAUAUGAAUAUGCAACCUAAUACACAAUUACGUUAGUAGGUGUUUAACCACAAAGCUUGUCUCUGCUUUACUUGAUGUUGUCACAAGUUUCUAAUUGCUGUAAAUAUUCGAAAUUCUGCAAAUGUCAGUUGAUAGGGUUUGAUUCGUUGAAUGCAAUCAUAUAAUACGCGUGUAACUGUAUAUGAUAAGCAUGGAUUCCAUUGUGAAACAAGAACUGUUGAAGUUAUCACAGGAAUUUGAUUGUUUGGGAUUGCCAAUUAUUAAUAUUAAAGUAGAUGUGCUACAUCAAGUUAUUUCUGGUGCUAGCAGACUUGUGCAAAUGUACAGAACAUCAAUGACAAAAGCAAAAGAUGCAAACAUAGUGAACUCACAAAUUCAUAAAGAAUUAAAAAUUAAAGAGAAAAAGAUUGAUGACUUAAAAGAUCAAAUUAAUGACUUAGAAAAUGAUAAUAAAAAACAAACUAACACUUUGGCAAAGCUACAUUCAGAAAUUACAACGUUGAAAUCACAAUUGCAUGAAAACGAUCGUGAUUUGCAACGUGCACGGCUUUAUAAUAAAAACAAAGACGCUGAAUGGUCUCACAAGAUCACCCGGAUGCAAAUGGAAAUUAACAAAUUAAAAGGCGAGCCCAUUGAAAACCACUUAGGUCAUGAUGAAAAAUGGUCAGGACCAUUGCACAAUACAAACUCAAAGAGGAGAUUUACAAAGACACAAUCCGGCAAUUACAAGACAACAACGAAGAACUCCAGAGACAACUUUUAAACAUCAGAGACGAACUUUGUAGCAAUUUCAACAUUGAUUCCAAAACAGAUGAAGGCUAAGCCAUCUUGAUAUUCCAACAAAACUCAAAAACAAAUGAUUUGAAAAAAUACUUGUUGCCUUGUUUAUCAAAUUAAUUAAUCAAUUCGAUUUUUCGCUGUCAUUUUCACGUUAUAAAACAUAGCAAGAGCGAAAGUGGUUCGAAAUGUCCCUCUUUUCCUCCGCGUUGAGAGCCGCACGCCGCGGCCCACAAAUAUUCCGCACUUUGGCUCCGAGAUGUUACGUCACCAAGAUCACAAUGGGCGACCCGGUGGAACACGCAACUGGAAUAGAAAAGCGCGAGUUGUUAGCCAAAAUGGCGGGUAACUGUGACCCUUUCGGAUUGGAACUGUGCAAGGUAGGCACCGGCACGCAAGAUGAUCCCAUACAGAUCAAGUCCGCCUUCGAUUCGCGCAUCGUCGGUUGCAUUUGCAACGAGGAAGCGGUCUACCCCAAUUGGAUGUGGUUGCACGAAAACGAGUGCAAACGCUGUGAAUGUGGCCGAUGGUUUACUUUAGUGCCAACCGAGCCGUUCUAAACUCCAAGACGAAUUAUUAUGCAAACAAUAUGCAACUGUGAUUUUAUAAACAUGAUUUUCCAUUUAUUAA